UCAGACUACGAAAUGACUAGUCUCAUUAUAUAGCGCCGUUAAUAAUAGAGAUUUACAUAUUUGAUAUAACAUAUAGUGUGUGUAUAUAUAUAUAUAAUUAUUAAUUAAAGGGAGGGAGUUACAACUCCAUCUCCUUAACUUUCUCAACCAUAACGUGGAUGUGUGGUGGUUCGGUUUUCUUCUUCCACAAUUUCUGUUUUUUGAAACAGAGAACUCUCUCUGGUUCAUCUCCCUGGAAAAACAUAGAAGAAAAGCAAGUUUUCUUCUCCCUCCUCUCUUCCUUUCCUCCCUUUCUAAAAUUCAAGCAAAGCUCGCAACUUUUGCUUGAAUUUUCAAUCCCAACAGAAUACAUAAAAUUCUCUAGUAGUGGUGCCCAUUUUGGGAUUUCGGAUCGAAGUUCGAAACGUUCGUGAUCGGAUCGAGAGACUACGCGAAGAAGAUUGGCUUCAAGUCACUCGUGCUGUUCCCGAUGAGUAUCUAGAGAAAACGAGGUCAAAAAUGGAGGAAAUUUGAAGGAGAUUGCGGCUGUACAGUACAGGCUGUACCGCAGCAUUGCAAUGUUGCGAUGAGGCGGAACGAAAUUUUUUUCAUAGCGUUGCAAUGCUAGAACAGAAUAUUGCAACACUUCGAGACUUAACAAAUUUUCUGGUUCGCACGCGGUUUGGUUCGUAGCUUGAUUGGUUUGUGUUCGGUUCGCUUGGUUCGAGUAGUUCAAGGGUGGUUCAGAGGUUGAGCGGUAUGGUUCGUGCGGUUCAAGGGCCGGUUCACUUGUUUUGAACAGAUUUAACUAUUUUGAAUGUAAUAGUUUUUUAUUAAUUAAAUUACUAUAAAUGUUAUAUUAAUUUAAUUAAUACUUUAGGAGUACAAUCUUGAUCCA